rnacentral:rRNA from 1 species
UUGCCCUAGUAACGGCGAGUGAAGCGGCAACAGCUCAAAUUUGAAAUCUGGCUCCCUUGGGGGUCCGAGUUGUAAUUUGUAGAGGGUGCUUUGGUAUUAGCUGUGGUCUAAGACCCUUGGAACAGGGCGUCACAGAGGGUGAGAAUCCCGUAUGUGGCCAGCAGCUCUUGCCUUGUAAAGCCCCUUCGACGAGUCGAGUUGUUUGGGAAUGCAGCUCUAAAUGGGAGGUAAAUUUCUUCUAAAGCUAAAUACUGGCCAGAGACCGAUAGCGCACAAGUAGAGUGAUCGAAAGAUGAAAAGCACUUUGGAAAGAGAGUCAAAAAGCACGUGAAAUUGUUGAAAGGGAAGCGCUUGCAGCCAGACUUGCCCGUAGUUGUUCAUCCAGGCUCUUGCCUGGUGCACUCUUCUGCGGGCAGGCCAGCAUCAGUCCAGGCGGUCGGAUAAAGGCCUUGGGAAUGUGGCUCCUUUCGGGGAGUGUUAUAGCCCAGGGUGCCAUGCGGCCAGCCUGAACUGAGGUCCGCGCUUCUGCUAGGAUGCUGGCGUAAUGGCUGUAAGCGGCCCGUCUU